UCUUAGUAUUGUGAGAAGGGU
rnacentral:piRNA from 1 species